GAUGAACGCUGGCGGCGUGCCUAAUACAUGCAAGUCGAGCGAACGGACGAGAAGCUUGCUUCUCUGAUGUUAGCGGCGGACGGGUGUGUAACACGUGGAUAACCUACCUAUAAGACUGGGAUAACUUCGGGAAACCGGAGCUAAUACCGGAUAAUAUUUUGAACCGCAUGGUUCAAAAGUGAAAGACGGUCUUGCUGUCACUUAUAGAUGGAUCCGCGCUGCAUUAGCUAGUUGGUAAGGUAACGGCUUACUAAGGCAACGAUGCAUAGCCGACCUGAGAGGGUGAUCGGCCACACUGGAACUGAGACACGGUCCAGACUCCUACGGGAGGCAGCAGUAGGGAAUCUUCCGCAAUGGGCGAAAGCCUGACGGAGCAACGCCGCGUGAGUGAUGAAGGUCUUCGGAUCGUAAAACUCUGUUAUUAGGGAAGAACAUAUGUGUAAGUAACUGUGCACAUCUUGACGGUACCUAAUCAGAAAGCCACGGCUAGCUACGUG
rnacentral:rRNA from 1 species